UCUACGGGCGGCAGCAGUGGGGGAUAUUGCACAAUGGGGGGAACCCUGAUGCAGCGACGCCGCGUGAGUGAAGAAGUAUUUCGGUAUGUAAAGCUCUAUCAGCAGGGAAGAAGAAAGCCGGUACCUGACUCAGAAGCCCCGGCUAACUACGUGCCAGCAGCCGCGGUAAUACGUAGGGGGCGAGCGUUAUCCGGAUUCACUGGGUGGAAAGGGAGCGUAGACGGCCAUGCAAGCCAGGGGUGAAAGCCCGGGGCCCAACCCCGGGACUGCCCUUGGAACUGCAGGGCUGGAGUGCGGGAGGGGCAGGCGGAAUUCCUGGUGUAGCGGGGAAAUGCGUAGAUAUCAGGAGGAACACCGGCGGCGAAGGCGGCCUGCUGGACCGCGACUGACGUUGAGGCUCGAAAGCGUGGGGAGCGAACAGGAUUAGAUACCCUGGUAGUC
rnacentral:rRNA from 1 species